rnacentral:rRNA from 1 species
AACGCUGGCGGCGUGCUUAACACAUGCAAGUCGAACGGUGAACCAGGGCUUGCCCUGGGGAUCAGUGGCGAACGGGUGAGUAACACGUGGGCAACCUGCCCCUGACUCUGGGAUAACUCCUCGAAAGAGGUGCUAAUACCGGAUACGACCACUUCGGGCAUCCGAUGGUGGUGGAAAGAAUUUUGGUCAGGGAUGGGCCCGCGGCCUAUCAGCUUGUUGGUGGGGUAACGGCCCACCAAGGCGACGACGGGUAGCCGGCCUGAGAGGGCGACCGGCCACACUGGGACUGAGACACGGCCCAGACUCCUACGGGAGGCAGCAGUGGGAAAUAUUGCGCAAUGGGCGAAAGCCUGACGCAGCGACGCCGCGUGAGGGACGACGGCCUUCGGGUUGUAAACCUCUUUCAGCAGGGACGAAGCGAAAGUGACGGUACCUGCAGAAGAAGCACCGGCUAACUACGUG